rnacentral:rRNA from 1 species
AUGAACGCUGGCGGCGUGCCUAAUACAUGCAAGUCGAGCGAACAGAUGAGGAGCUUGCUCCUCUGACGUUAGCGGCGGCCGGGUGAGUAACACGUGGAUAACCUACCUAUAAGACUGGGAUAACUUCGGGAAACCGGAGCUAAUACCGGAUAAUAUAUUGAACCGCAUGGUUCAAUAGUGAAAGACGGUUUUGCUGUCACUUAUAGAUGGAUCCGCGCCGCAUUAGCUAGUUGGUAAGGUAACGGCUUACCAAGGCGACGAUGCGUAGCCGACCUGAGAGGGUGAUCGGCCACACUGGAACUGAGACACGGUCCAGACUCCUACGGGAGGCAGCAGUAGGGAAUCUUCCGCAAUGGGCGAAAGCCUGACGGAGCAACGCCGCGUGAGUGAUGAAGGUCUUCGGAUCGUAAAACUCUGUUAUUAGGGAAGAACAGAUGUGUAAGUAACUAUGCACGUCUUGACGGUACCUAAUCAGAAAGCCACGGCUAACUACGUG